rnacentral:rRNA from 1 species
AGCCGCGGUAAUACGUAGGGGGCGAGCGUUAUCCGGAUUCAUUGGGCGUAAAGCGCGCGUAGGCGGCCUGUUAGGUCGGGAGUCAAAUCCGGGGGCUCAACCCCCGCCCGCUCCCGAUACCGGCGGGCUUGAGUCUGGUAGGGGAAGGCGGAAUUCCAAGUGUAGCGGUGGAAUGCGCAGAUAUUUGGAAGAACACCGGUGGCGAAGGCGGCCUUCUGGGCCACGACUGACGCUGAGGCGCGAAAGCUAGGGGAGCGAACAGGAUUAGAUACCCUGGUAGUCCUAGCCGUAAACGAUGGACACUAGGUGUGGGGGGACGAUCCCUCCGUGCCGCAGCUAACGCAUUAAGUGUCCCGCCUGGGGAGUACGGCCGCAAGGCUAAAACUCAAAGGAAUUGACGGGGGCCCGCACAAGCAGCGGAGCAUGUGGCUUAAUUCGAAGCAACGCGAAGAACCUUACCAGGGCUUGACAUGCGGGUGAAGCGGCGGAAACGCCGUGGCCGAGAGGAGCCCGCACAGGUGGUGCAUGGCC